AUUGAACGCUGGCGGCAUGCCUUACACAUGCAAGUCGAACGGUAACAGGUUAAGCUGGCGAGUGGCGAACGGGUGAGUAAUGUAUCGGAACGUGCCCAGUCGUGGGGGAUAACUGCUCGAAAGAGCAGCUAAUACCGCAUACGACCUGAGGGUGAAAGCGGGGGAUCGCAAGACCUCGCGCGAUUGGAGCGGCCGAUAUCAGAUUAGGUAGUUGGUGAGGUAAAGGCUCACCAAGCCGACGAUCUGUAGCUGGUCUGAGAGGACGACCAGCCACACUGGGACUGAGACACGGCCCAGACUCCUACGGGAGGCAGCAGUGGGGAAUUUUGGACAAUGGGCGCAAGCCUGAUCCAGCCAUGCCGCGUGCGGGAAGAAGGCCUUCGGGUUGUAAACCGCUUUUGUCAGGGAAGAAAAGGUUCUGGCUAAUACCUGGGACUCAUGACGGUACCUGAAGAAUAAGCACCGGCUAACUACGUG
rnacentral:rRNA from 1 species